GGGGGGGGGGAGAGCGCGGGGGAGGGAGCGCGCGACCCGAGCGACGAAGUCGCGAGUGGUCGACUUGUGUCCCUUGCAGGAAUUUAAAUCGCAUUUAAAAUUUUGGCGCGAAUAAUUUUGACAUAAAAGGGGUGUGUACAUUUCAUACAAUUUGUCAAUUACUUCACCGCGCCGACAAUGGGUCUACAAAAUUAACACAAAAACAUUCUCAAGAAUUGAUAUUUCUUUGUCGUCGAAUGAAACAGUUUGCAC